rnacentral:rRNA from 1 species
UACGUAGGGGGCAAGCGUUGUCCGGAAUUAUUGGGCGUAAAGAGCGUGUAGGCGGCCAGAUAAGUCCGCUGUGAAAUCUCGAGGCUCAACUUCGAGCUGUCGGUGGAAACUAUCUGGCUAGAGUCCGGAAGAGGAGAAUGGAAUUCCUGGUGUAGCGGUGAGAUGCGCAGAUAUCAGGAAGAACACCCGUGGCGAAGGCGGUUCUCUGGGACGGUACUGACGCUGAGACGCGAAAGCGUGGGGAGCGAACAGG